rnacentral:rRNA from 1 species
CGUAGGUGGCAAGCGUUAUCCGGAAUUAUUGGGCGUAAAGCGCGCGUAGGCGGUUUCUUAAGUCUGAUGUGAAAGCCCACGGCUCAACCGUGGAGGGUCAUUGGAAACUGGGAGACUUGAGUGCAGAAGAGGAAAGUGGAAUUCCAUGUGUAGCGGUGAAAUGCGCAGAGAUAUGGAGGAACACCAGUGGCGAAGGCGACUUUCUGGUCUGUAACUGACGCUGAUGUGCGAAAGCGUGGGGAUCAAACAGGA